rnacentral:rRNA from 1 species
ACGGAAGGCAGCAGUAGGGAAUAUUGCACAAUGGGGGAAACCCUGAUGCAGCAACGCCACGUGUGGGGAGAAGCAGUUCGGUGUGUAAACCACUGUCGUGAGGGAAUAAUGCUUAAUUUCGGUUAAGUUGAAUGUACCUCGAAAGGAAGCACCGGCAAACUUCGUGCCAGCAGCCGCGGUAAUACGAGGGGUGCAAGCGUUGUUCGGAAUCACUGGGCGUAAAGGGAGCGCAGGCGGAGAUGCAAGCAGUCUGUACCAUACCGGGGCCCAACCCCGGACCUGCAGACUGGUCUGUUUCUCUUGGAUCGUUCAGGGGCAAGCGGAAUUCCUGGUGUAGCGGUGGAAUGCGUAGAGUUCAGGAAGAACACCGAUGGCGAAGGCAGCUUGCUGGGGACUUAUCGACGCUCAUGCUCGAAAGUGCGGGUAGCUAACAGUAUUAGAUACCCUGGUA